rnacentral:rRNA from 1 species
UACGGAAGGCAGCAGUGGGGAAUAUUGCACAAUGGGCGCAAGCCUGAUGCAGCCAUGCCGCGUGUAUGAAGAAGGCCUUCGGGUUGUAAAGUACUUUCAGUCGUGAGGAAGGUGUUAAGGUUAAUAACCUUAGCAAUUGACGUUAGCGACAGAAGAAGCACCGGCUAACUCCGUGCCAGCAGCCGCGGUAAUACGGAGGGUGCGAGCGUUAAUCGGAAUUACUGGGCGUAAAGGGCACGCAGGCGGUUAAUUAAGUUGGAUGUGAAAUCCCCGGGCUUAACCUGGGAAUGGCAUUCAAGACUGGUUAGCUAGAGUCUUGUAGAGGGGGUAGAAUUCCAUGUGUAGCGGUGAAAUGCGUAGAGAUGUGGAGGAAUACCGGUGGCGAAGGCGGCCCCUGGGACAAAGACUGACGCUCAUGUGCGAAAAGCGUGGGGAGCAAACAGGGAUUAGAUACC